CCUACGGGAGGCUGCAGUGAGGAAUAUUGGACAAUGGACGAGAGUCUGAACCAGCCAAGUAGCGUGAAGGAUGACUGCCCUAUGGGUUGUAAACUUCUUUUAUAUGGGAAUAAAAUGUUCCACGUGUGGGAUUUUGUAUGUACCAUAUGAAUAAGGAACGGCUAACUCCGUGCCAGCAGCAGCGGUAAUACGGAGGGUCCGAGCGUUAUCCGGAUUUAUUGGGUUUAAAGGGAGCGUAGGUGGAUUGUUAAGUCAGUUGUGAAAGUUUGCGGCUCAACCGUAAAAUUGCAGUUGAAACUGGCAGUCUUGAGUACAGUAGAGGUGAGCGGAAUUCGUGGUGUAGCGGUGAAAUGCUUAGAUAUCACGAAGAACUCCGAUUGCGAAGGCAGUUCACUGGACUGCAACUGACACUGAGGCUCGAAAGUGUGGGUAUCAAACAGGAUUAGAUACCCGAGUAGUC
rnacentral:rRNA from 1 species